UACGGAGGGUGCAAGCGUUGCUCGGAAUCACUGGGCGUAAAGCGACCGCAGGCGGUCUGACAAGUCGGAUGUGAAAGCCCUGGGCUCAACUCAGGAACAGCAUUCGAAACUGGCAGACUCGAGUACGGGAGAGGGGGGUGGAAGUUCCUGGUGUAGGGGUGAAAUUCGUUGAUAUCAGGAGGAACACCGGCGGCGGAAGGCGGCCCCCUGGUCCGCAACUGACGCUCAUGGUCGAAAGCGUGGGGAGCAAACAGG
rnacentral:rRNA from 1 species